UACGUAGGGGGCUAGCGUUGUCCGGAAUCAUUGGGCGUAAAGAGCGUGUAGGCGGCCCGGUAAGUCCGCUGUAAAAGUCAAAGGCUCAACCUUUGAAUGUCAGUGGAUACUGCCGGGCUAGAGUCCGGAAGAGGCGAGUGGAACUCCUGGUGUAGCGGUGGAAUGCGCAGAUAUCAGGAAGAACACCGACGGCGAAGGCAGCUCGCUGGGACGGUACUGACGCUGAGGCGCGACAGCGUGGGGAGCAAACAGG
rnacentral:rRNA from 1 species